rnacentral:rRNA from 1 species
GAUGAACGCUGGCGGCGUGCCUAAUACAUGCAAGUCGAGCGAACAGACGAGGAGCUUGCUCCUCUGACGUUAGCGGCGGACGGGUGAGUAACACGUGGAUAACCUACCUAUAAGACUGGGAUAACUUCGGGAAACCGGAGCUAAUACCGGAUAAUAUAUUGAACCGCAUGGUUCAAUAGUGAAAGACGGUUUUGCUGCCACUUAUAGAUGGAUCCGCGCCGCAUUAGCUAGUUGGUAAGGUAACGGCUUACCAAGGCAACGAUGCGUAGCCGACCUGAGAGGGUGAUCGGCCACACUGGAACUGAGACACGGUCCAGACUCCUACGGGAGGCAGCAGUAGGGAAUCUUCCGCAAUGGGCGAAAGCCUGACGGAGCAACGCCGCGUGAGUGAUGAAGGUCUUCGGAUCGUAAAACUCUGUUAUUAGGGAAGAACAAAUGUGCAAGUAACUAUGCACGUCUUGACGGUACCUAAUCAGAAAGCCACGGCUAACUACGUG